rnacentral:rRNA from 1 species
GUUGUAUAGUCAAGUAAUUAAGUGCAUGUGGUGGAUGCCUUGGCAGUCAGAGGCGAUGAAAGACGUGAUAGCCUGCGAAAAGCUCCGGGGAGGCGGCAAAUAUCCUUUGAUCCGGAGAUGUCUGAAUGGGGGAACCCACCUACUUUAAGGUAGGUAUUGCAACAUGAAUACAUAGUGUUGCAAGGCGAACGAGGGGAAGUGAAACAUCUCAGUACCCUUAGGAAAAGAAAUCAAUUGAGAUUCCCUCAGUAGCGGCGAGCGAACGGGGAUCAGCCCAUUAAGUUAUGUGUGUUUUAGUGGAACGCUCUGGGAAGUGCGAACGUAGAGGGUGAUAUUCCCGUACACGAAAGGGCACACAUAAUGAUGACGAGUAGGGCGAGGCACGUGAAACCUUGUCUGAAUAUGGGGGGACCAUCCUCCAAGGCUAAAUACUCCUGACUGACCGAUAGUGAACCAGUACCGUGAGGGAAAGGCGAAAAGAACCCCUGUGAGGGGAGUGAAAUAGAUCCUGAAACCGCAUGCAUACAAGCAGUGGGAGCACCUUCGUGGUGUGACUGCGUACCUUUUGUAUAAUGGGUCAGCGACUUAUAUUCAGUAGCAAGGUUAACCGUAUAGGGGAGCCGUAGAGAAAUCGAGUCUUAAUAGGGCGUUUAGUUGCUGGGUAUAGACCCGAAACCAGGCGAUCUAUCCAUGAGCAGGUUGAAGGUUGGGUAACACUAACUGGAGGACCGAACCCACUGUCGUUGAAAAGCCAGGGGAUGACUUGUGGAUAGGGGUGAAAGGCUAAUCAAGCCUGGUGAUAGCUGGUUCUCCCCGAAAGCUAUUUAGGUAGCGCCUCGGACGAAUACCAUAGGGGGUAGAGCACUGUUUCGGCUAGGGGGUCAUCCCGACUUACCAAACCGAUGCAAACUCCGAAUACCUAUGAGUACUAUCCGGGAGACAGACUGCGGGUGCUAACGUCCGUAGUCAAGAGGAAAACAAUCCAGACCGCCAGCUAAGGCCCCAAAAUCAUAGUUAAGUGGGAAACGAUGUGGGAAGGCAUAGACAGCUAGGAGGUUGGCUUANNNNNNNNNGAAGCAGCCACCCUUUAAAGAAAGCGUAAUAGCUCACUAGUCGAGUCGGCCUGCGCGGAAGAUGUAACGGGGCUAAAACUAUGUGCCGAAGCUGCGGAUGUAUACUUUGUAUACGUGGUAGGGGAGCGUUCUGUAAGCCGAUGAAGGUGUGUUGAGAAGCAUGCUGGAGGUAUCAGAAGUGCGAAUGCUGACGUGAGUAACGACAAAACGGGUGAAAAACCCGUUCGCCGAAAGACCAAGGGUUCCAGUCCAACGUUAA